rnacentral:rRNA from 1 species
UACGAAGGGGGCUAGCGUUGCUCGGAAUUACUGGGCGUAAAGGGCGCGUAGGCGGACAGCUUAGUCAGGGGUAAAAGCCCAGGGCUCAACCUUGGAACUGCCUUUGAUACUGGCUGUCUUGAGUACGGGAGAGGUGUGUGGAACUCCGGGUGUAGAGGUGAAAUUCGUAGAUAUUCGGAAGAACACCAGUGGCGAAGGCGACACACUGGCCCGUUACUGACGCUGAGGCGCGAAAGCGUGGGGAGCAAACAGG